CAAAACAACAACUAAAAAAGACCAGAAAAAGAAGGGUGAGGAAGAUAAGGAAGAAGAUCCUUUUUCCAGUAUAGAUGAUUCAUUAUUUUUUUCUUGUUCGUU
rnacentral:ribozyme from 14 species